GCGGCUCCACCUGCUCGGAGCCACCCAGGGCCCAGGUCUGGGCCGUGCACGUGGCCAGGCCCACCCCCACAGUGGGCAGGUGCUGAGGGGCAGGAACAGAGAAAACCCGAGUGUCCCCUCUGUCCCGGGGAAAGGGUGGUACAAGGUGCUGCCGUCAUGUGGCCUGGAGCGAAGGGGCCGGCCAUUCCACAGACACGUCGGAGAGGCGCUGGCAUCCUAACCUAGAGUAAACAAGAAAAGAGACACCGGCGAAACGCAUCGUAAAGCCACAGGAAAUGAGGAGCUGGCCAGGAACUGGCGGAAACGGAAGCAACAGGGAGGCUCCGUCGAAACAGGUGCUCUCCCACAGAGGGUGUGGACGCCGCCUCGCUGGACCUUGGAUUUGCCAAGUCCUUCCCGUGUUUCAAGCAAAGCUUUUGACUCGGGAGCGGGUGGCGGGCGGCCCCACUGCGGAGACCCGGGUGCCACGUCCCAGAGCGUGGAGUGCAGGGGAGGUGCCCGCAGCAGGAGCCGGUACCAGACAGGCCGCGGCGGGGCAACGGGAAACGCAUUGUCAGGAGCCGGCCGAGGACUCCUGGGGUCCUUGGGGUGUUUGCUUUGUUUUGUUUGUUUUUCCAGAGAGAGAGGGAAGGAAAGGGAAAAUUUAGGACAAGAGAUCCUGGUGAACAAAAACAGCUGAAGUGAGAGAGAUGUGGAGACAAAGCACAGAAGUCAAGACAGGAGGGCGUUCCGCACACACACGCACACGCACACGCAGCCAGGGUUGGCCGCUGCUCCAGAGAGGACGCUGGGAAAGAGGCCUCACAGCUGGAGCCCAGCGGGGUGAAGGGGAUGGCUCAGUGGCCCCUGCACAGCAGGAGUGGGCUAAGGCCUGGAGGCGCCCCUUCCCUGGCCCCCUGAAGCAGGACUGGGCAGGAGCCCCAGGGUGGGGCUCUCGACUUCCUCAGAUGAGAGCUUCACUCCCACUGGAGGGCCCGGAGUUGGGCUGUGACCCCCAGGCUGUCCCUGACCAUCCCAGCCUUCUCCCUGUAACAGGGGCCCAGCCUCGCUUCCAGGGCUGAGAAACUGGUACAGCCUUGGUUGGGGGGCCUGGGAGAGGGAGGGGACCCUGAUAGGCAGGAGCAUGUCCCCUACUGCAGGAGAGACUCUCAACAGCCGUGUGUCCCCAUUACAGGCAACAUAAACACCCACUCGUGUGUAUAUCCUUGUUUGUAUGUGCCUGAGGCUGCACAUGUGUGGGCACGUGUGUGGACUUAGGGGACACCUAUGCCAAGGAGGGCAGGUAGAAGAAAAGGUGCCAAGUAGCAUAACUGAUGCCUGGUGGGGCCCACGGGAACCCUGCAGCUUCAUGUCUGAACAGAAUUAUUCCAUCCCCAACACACAUGCACACAUGUGUACACACAUGUAUGCACCCCACACACGUGCAUACAUGGCAGAGCAGAGCCACACGUGCAUACAACCACACACAUACACCUGUGCAGAAGCAUACAUGUGUGCAUGCGUGACUUACACACACACACAUGCACACACACAUUUUCAGGGACCCACACACACAGGUGCACGCACUUGCCCACCGCGGUGUGGAUGGGGGAGAGAUGGGAGAGACAGCAGAAAUAUUAAAACAGACUUUGUGAAGACACAACAGAAGCUGACAGAGGCCGACGUGGGUGGGGAGGAGGCCCCGCCCACACACCCCCUGCACUCCCACCAUGGGCCACAGUGGGCUUUGUCCC
rnacentral:lncRNA from 1 species